UACGGGUUGUGAGAGCAAGAGCCCGGAGAUGGAACCUGAGACAAGGUUCUAGGCCCUACGGGGUGCAGCAGGCGCGAAACCUCCGCAAUGUGAGAAAUCGCGACGGGGGGAUUCCAAGUGCCAUUCUUAAAGGGAUGGCUUUCCAUUAGUGUAAAGAGCUUUUGGAAUAAGAGCUGGGCAAGACCGGUGCCAGCCGCCGCGGUAACACCGGCAGCUCUAGUGGUAACAAUUUUUAUUGGGCCUAAAGCGUCCGUAGCCAGUUUAAUAAGUCUCUGGUGAAAUCCUGUAGCUUAACUGUGGGAAUUGCUGGAGAUACUAUUAGACUUGAGACCGGGCGAGGUUAGAGGUACCCCCAGGGUAGAGGUGAAAUUCUGUAAUCUUGGGAGGACCGCCUGUUGCGAAGGCGUCUAACUGGAACGGUUCUGACGGUGAGGGACGAAAGUUAGGGGCGCGAACCGGAUUAGAUACCCGGGUAGUCCUAACUGUAAAUGAUGCGGACUUGGUGUUGGGGUGGCUUUGAGCUGCUCCAGUGCCGAAGGGAAGCUGUUAAGUCCGCCGCCUGGGAAGUACGGUCGCAAGACUGAAACUUAAAGGAAUUGGCGGGGGAGCA
rnacentral:rRNA from 1 species